ensembl:lncRNA
UAGAGUGUGAGGAGGCAGGUAGCCUAGUGGUUAGAGUGUAGAGGAGGCAGGUAGCCUAGUGGUUAGAGUGUAGAGGAGGCAGGUAGCCUAGUGGUUAGAGUGUAGAGGAGGCAGGUAGCCUAGUGGUUAGAGUGUGAGGAGGCAGGUAGCCUAGUGGUUAGAGUGUAGAGGAGGCAGGUAGCCUAGUGGUUAGAGUGUAGAGGAGGCAGGUAGCCUAUUGGUUAGAGUGUAGAGGAGGCAGGUAGCCUAGUGGUUAGAGUGUAGGGGAGGCAGGUAGCCUAGUGGUUAGAGUGUAGAGGUGGCAGGUAGCCUAGUGGUUAGAGUGUAGAGGAGGCAGGUAGCCUAGUGGUUAGAGUGUAGAGGAGGCAGGUAGCCUAGUGGUUAGAGUGUAGAUGUGGCAGGUAGCCUAGUGGUUAGAGUGUAGAGGAGGCAGGUAGCCUAGUGGUUAGAGUGUAGAGGAGGUAGGUAGCCUAGUGGUUAGAGUGCAGAGGAGGCAGGUAGCCUAGUGGUUAGAGUGUAGAGGAGGCAGGUAGCCUAGUGGUUAGAG